GUGCCUUUCGACCUCGUCGUACUGUUGAAACGUGGCGAGGCCGUGACCCACAACAUAAACUACAAGAUCGAGGAGCCCCAAGAAAUGCAGACCCUGUGGAUAUAUGGCUGCAGCAGCAUGGCGUGUGAUCUGGAUGGUCAUGACAGGCUCCACCGUCGCCGUUACUAGACGGACCAAAUGAGGCCAAAAACUAGCCUUUCCUCGCUCCAUUCCUGGGAAGUGAAAUAGCAGG